rnacentral:rRNA from 1 species
GGCUCAGGAUGAACGCUGGCGGUAUGCUUAACACAUGCAAGUCGAACGGUCUUUUCGGAGAUAGUGGCGGACGGGUGAGUAACGCGUAAGAAUCUACCUUCAGGUUGGGGACAACCACUGGAAACGGUGGCUAAUACCGAAUGUGCCGAGAGGUGAAAGGCUUGCUGCCUGAAGAAGAGCUUGCGUCUGAUUAGCUAGUUGGUGUGGUAAGAGCGCACCAAGGCGACGAUCAGUAGCUGGUCUGAGAGGAUGAUCAGCCACACUGGGACUGAGACACGGCCCAGACUCCUACGGGAGGCAGCAGUGGGGAAUUUUCCGCAAUGGGCGAAAGCCUGACGGAGCAAUACCGCGUGAGGGAGGAAGGCUCUUGGGUUGUAAACCUCUUUUCUCAGGGAAGAAAAAAAUGACGGUACCUGAGGAAUAAGCAUCGGCUAACUCCGUGCCAGCAGCCGCGGUAAUACGGAGGAUGCAAGCGUUAUCCGGAAUGAUUGGGCGUAAAGGGUCCGCAGGUGGCAUUGUAAGUCUGCUGUUAAAGAGUUUGGCUCAACCAAAUAAAAGCAGUGGAAACUACAAAGCUAGAGUAUGGUCGGGGCAGAGGGAAUUCCUGGUGUAGCGGUGAAAUGCGUAGAUAUCAGGAAGAACAUCGGUGGCGAAGGCGCUCUGCUAGGCCAAAACUGACACUGAGGGACGAAAGCUAGGGGAGCGAAUGGGAUUAGAUACCCCAGUAGUCCUAGCCGUAAACGAUGGAUACUAGGCGUAGCUCGUAUCGACCCGAGCUGUGCCGUAGCUAACGCGUUAAGUAUCCCGCCUGGGGAGUACGCAGGCAACUGUGAAACUCAAAG